CACUUCGAGUGUCGCGUACAGCUCAACGAUAAAAUCACUGAAAAUAAAAGUAAUUUUCAGAAUAUUAUAGUGAUCAAGUGCAACUCAGUACUAAUUGCAGUAACAGAUUUAAAAAAAAAAAGCAUUUUCGAUCAAUAUUUCAACUGCGGGUAUCUCACAAACUAAAAAUGGUAGAAAGGAAAGGAUUGAAGAUUCUUAAUGUACAGGAAAUUCUUUAGUACACGUAAGAAAUGGUAAACCAACCAAUACUACAAAAUGCCAAGAGUCGCAAAGCACAGAAAAGUUUAUUUUAUUACUAGGUAAUUGUCUGCAUGUGAGGGGCUAAGCUGGUCGUACAACUAGAUUCCAAGAUGGCGGCGUAUGUUUUGUUCAGUAUUAUAUAUGCUAAGUUUUCAUUGUACUCGUAUACAUGUUUCAAUAAAAAAUGUUAAAAGUGA